rnacentral:rRNA from 1 species
CAGCCGCCGCGGUAAUACGGGGGGUGCAAGCGUUGUUCGGAUUUAUUGGGCGUAAAGCGCGUGUAGGCGGUCUUAUAAGUCUGAUGUGAAAGCCCUGGGCUCAACCCAGGAAGUGCAUUGGAUACUGUAAGACUUGAAUACGGGAGAGGGCAGUGGAAUUCCUAGUGUAGGAGUGAAAUCCGUAGAUAUUAGGAGGAACACCGGUGGCGAAGGCGGCUGCCUGGACCGAUAUUGACGCUGAGACGCGAAAGCGUGGGUAGCAAACAGGAUUAGAUACCCUGGUAGUCCACGCCGUAAACGAUGAGAACUAGGUGUUGCGGGUAUUGACCCCUGCAGUGCCGUAGCUAACGCAUUAAGUUCUCCGCCUGGGAAGUACGGUCGCAAGACUAAAACUCAAAGGAAUUGACGG